ensembl:lncRNA
CUGCGGCUGCUGCACCGGGGCUGGAGUCGGAGGCGGCCCCAUGGAACGCUGGGACCGACCUAGACCCCGCUUCCUCUCAGCCUGCUGGCGGGGGGGGGGCCGUGAGAAUCGUCCCGAACCGGGAACGAUUCUCACGGACUGACUGCUGGUGCGCGAGCACCUCGGAGAACCUGGGACCAAAUAGGCCAUCCGGCGCUGGUGGACCCUGGACGAGGCUGGCCCGCUCUCGUUCCGGCACCGCAGUGUGGGAGAGCCAUAUGACCCUUUGAAUCAUGGUAGCCCACGCCAUAUGCUGGCCGGCCGAAACGGCUAUCGGCUGGCAUAACUGGAGGAUGGCGCUGGAAAAGCGGGAAACCGCCAGCCAUCUCGCGGCUUCCUCCGGGCCGCAGGCCUCCCUGUCAGCCGACAAGGAGACCAUGGCAGAGGAGAGCAGGGCGAUGUUGUUGACCGCCGCCGCGGAGGGGCAGCGGCUUUUCGUUAAGGAGCCAUCCGGCGCCCGGACAGAGAAGCGCUGCCAGGGGAGGCUCCAGACGAGGGAUCCCCCUCGCCUGAGUAUCGGCCCACCCCUCCACGUUGGUGAAAUCCGUGUAGGAUCUUACCGGAGCCUUCAGGGUCGAAGGGUCCUCACCGGCAGCAAUAAACAAGUGCUGCAAAGGCGGGAACAAGGGGCACUGGGUAACCCGCCGGGAAAAAGAUGGGGUGCGAAAGCACUCGCCCUGCAUAUCGUCAGAUACGGGGGCGAGAGGCGGGGCCGGCAUGGGAAUCCCUUUGAUGGCCGCCGCCUCACUCAUGAUCUCCCGGAAGAGAUCGGUCAUCCGGCGCGGAUCCUCGUGUUGUAUGACGGUGGCGGUUGUAACCCGAGAGCGGGAAAAACCGGACGCCGAGUCGCCGAAGACGUCGUCCAGGGAGGCGUCGAUGAUGCCAUCGUCGACGUCAGGUCCGAAUAGGUCGAUGGCGCCAUUUCCACCGCAGGGGAAAAGAAGAGAUGCCUGGAGAGGAUCCCCUCUUCAGGCAGCUCCCGGCAGGCGACACAGGAGACGGGGGCCGCCAUAGCAGCCGCGGCGUGGUCGGCGCCGAGGCACCAAAAGCACGCCAAGUGCCCGUCACCCGGUGCCAGGGAGGCGGGACAGGAGGCGCAUAGGAGUCCUGAAAAGGACCUAGCUCUAGGAGCGCUCUCAGGUGGCCCUGAAAAGGGCCGUUUGUCCGCGGCCUCGCCCGAGCCGCUGCCACCGGCUUGGGAGAUCCGUGUUGAAGUUCUCAUCUCCUUAAUAGUAGUUCUCAAUUUCUCGCAGAUAAGCACAAGUGCUGAAAGAAAAGGGAGGAUGAGCGACGGUAUACACCGCGUUAUAUAGACACGAUACCGUGGGAAAUGAAUCAGAAUCAGAAUCAGAAUCACUUUUAUUACAUCUUAUAGUACAGUACUCAAGAGUAAAAAUCUUAGGCUUGGUUCCUCAACAUUCACAUAGCAGCAACAGUAAAAGAUAAAAUAAAUAAGAAUAAGAAUAAGAAACCAUAUGAAAAGGAACAAAGUAAAAAUAAAUAAAUAAAUAAGUAAGUAGCAGCAUCAAUAAUACUAAAAAGUAACAACAGUCUGUUGUUGUGGUGUGCGUGUGGAUGGUUGGGGCGUAGUGUGUUUUUCCAGGAGUCUGACUGCUUGGGGGAAAAAACUGCUUGUCAUCCUCUGGGUUUUGGCCCUUAGGCUUUGGUACCGCCUCCCUGACGGCAGUAGCUCAAACAGUUUCUGGUUGGGGUGGCUGGGGUCCCCAAUGAUUCGGAGGGCCUUCCUGACACACCGGGCCUUGUAGGUUUCCUGGAUGGAGGGAAGCUCACAUCCGCUGAUCCUCUCAGCUGUCCGCACUACCCUUUGCAGCAUUUUGCGGCUUUGGGCAGUGCAGUUCCCGUACCAGGCAGUGAUGCAUCCAGUCAAUAUGCUCUCCAUUGUGCCUCUGAAGAAGGCCCCCAGGAUCUUGGGCCCCACGCCAAACUUUUUCAGACGCCUAAGGUGAAAUAGGCGCCGCUGUGCUUUUUUCACCACCUGGUUGGUGUGCUCCUCCCAAGUGAGGUCUCUGGUGAUGUGGACUCCCAGGAACUUAAUGCUGUGUACCCUCUCCACAGCAGACCCAUUGAUGGAGAUGGGGUGUUGAAUCUGUCUCUUCUUCCUGAAGUCCACUACGAGCUCCUUGGUCUUAUCGGUGUUGAGAAUGAGGUUGUUGUCCUGGCUGUACUGAGCCAGACAGUCGACCUCGCUCCUAUAGGCCGUCUCAUCACCAUCAGUGAUCAGGCCCAUGACUGUCGUGUCAUCGGCGAACUUGAUCACUGCAUUGGAUCCAUGUGUAGCCACGCAGUCGUGGGUGUAUAGGGAGUAGAGGAGGGGGCUUAGGACACAGCCCUGGGGGGCUCCUGUGCUGAUGGUCAGAGGGGCGGAGAUCUUAGGACCCAUCUUCACCACCUGUUUUCGAUCCGUCAGGAAGUCAAGGAUCCAGUUGCAUAGGCUGGGAUCAAUGCCUAGAUCCCUGAGCUUCCUGUCAAGUCUGGAGGGAACUAUUGUGUUGAAUGCCGAACUAUAAUCAACAAACAGCAUCCUCACAUAGGUGUUCCUCUUGUCGAGGUGGGCGAGGGCUAAGUGGAGUGCUGUGGCAAUGGCGUCAUCUGUCGAUCUGUUCUUCCGAUAGGCAAAUUGGUGGGGGUCCAGGGCUGGUGGCAGCAUUCUGCAGAUCAGCACCUUGAUGAGCUUUUCAAAGCAUUUGCUCACUAUGGGGGUGAGAGCAACAGGGCGCCAGUCGUUUGGGCAUGUUACCUUGCUCUUCUUUUGUACAGGAAUGAUUACUGAUGACUUGAAGCAGGCUGGCACUAUGCCCGUGGAGAGGGAGAGGUUGAAAAUGUUUGUGAAUACACCAGCCAGCUGGUCCGCACAUACUUUGAACACCCGGCCAGGUAACCCAUCUGACCCGGCCGCUUUUCGGAUGUUGAUGCGUUUGAACACCACACGUACAUCCUCUUCUGUGAUGACAAGAGCGCUGGCUGUAUUAUCUGCGUCCUCUGAGUAGGUCCUCUCUAGGAGACUGGUUUGGCUCACUUCAAAGCGGGCGUAGAAACUGUUCAGCUCGUCAGGUAAAGAGACAGAAGUAUCAGCUGUGCAGCUAGAGGUCUCUUUGAAAUCAGUGAUGGUGUGUAGUCCCUUCCACAUUCUGCGUGGGUCAUUGCUGCUCAGCUGUGCCUCUAUUUUUUUGCCAUAAUCCCUCUUUGCUGCUUUGAUCACUUUUCUUAGGUUAUACCGGGCAGCUUUAAUUUCAGUUGUAUCUCCCGUUUUGAAUGCUGUUUUCCUAAUAGUAAGUGCUGUAUUAACAUCAAAAUUAAUCCAUGGUUUCCUGUUUGGAUAUACACGGACUGUUUUUGUGGGCACUACUUCUUCUAUCACCUUUCCAAUGAGACCCAGCGCUCCUUCCGCGAUCUCGUUGACGUCACCACUGUUCUCCGCGAACUCAGUCAUGGAAUCAAAGCAGUCCUGGAGGAUAGCGUCUGAUUCGUCAGACCAGCAUCGACAUGUGCGCGUGAUUGGUGGAGACGUUUUCAGCCUGUGCUUGUAGGCGGGCACAAGGAGAAUGGAAGAGUGGUCUGAUUUGCCGAACGGGGGGCGGAGGAGGGGUUUGUAUGCAUUGCGGAAUUGAGUGUAGGCGUGAUCCAAGCAUCUUCCGCCUCUCGUAUUUACAGUUAUGUGUUGAUAGAAUUUUGGCAAAACUUUCUUCAGCGACGCUCGGUUAAAGUCUCCAACCACUAUUAGAGCGGCCUCUGGGUGACUGUUUUCUAUUUUGCUGAUGGUUACGUACAGUUCCUUGAGUGCGACGUUUGUGUCAGUUUGUGGUGGAAUAUAAACUGCUAUGCAUAUGACAGCAGUAAAGUCUCUCGGAAGCCAGUGUGGGCGGCAGAGCAGGACUAGGUAUUCGAGGUCCGGGGAGCAGAAUGACUUGAGUGAGUGAACACUUACCGGUUUACACCAGGCUUUGUUCACCAUGAAGCAUACACCUCCGCCUUUACUUUUCCCCGAAAGUUCUCUUGACCUGUCCGCACGAUGUACAGAGAAGCCCAUGGGAGAGAUUUCGUAGUCCGCGAUAUGUUCACCCAGCCACGUCUCUGUUAGACAGAUGAUAUGGCAGUCCCUUGUUUCCUGUUGGAAGGUAAUCCUUGCUCUCAACUCGUCCAGUUUGUUUUCUAUGGAUUGUACGUUGGCUAGCAGAAUGCUGGGGAGAGGUGUUUUGCCUUCUCGCCGUCUGAGUCGGACGAGCAGGCCAGCCCGUCGCCCACGUCUCCGGCGUCUCCGACGCGGUAGUAGGGCCGUUGUUAGGCAUUUGUUUACGUUUGCCAGCUGGGGAUCCCAGUAGAAAAACUCCGGUUGACAGUGAAUAAUUCCCGAAUCUCUUAUGUUCAACAGUGUCUCUCGGUCAUAUAUAAUGCAGCCCGCAACUUUACAGGGUAAAAUCACGCAUAAAAACACUAAAAUAAGUAAAAUACUGCUAUGUUGUUGAGGAGUCCGUCGCUCGCUCGCCUUAACCGGCGCCGCCACCAUGACAACCCACUCAAAUGUGG